GUUUGUACAGGUACAGAACAAUCUGAGAAAUCUCAGCUUUUGGCUGGUACAAAACAAUCUGAGAAAUCUCAGCUUUUGGUUGUGUCCAGUAUCCAGUGUCCAGAAUAUGCUGGUGAAAACAUCAAUGGCAAGAUAUUUCUUAUUAUUAAAUGCUUUCAAUGAUUGUAUAACAUUUUUUCCCUUUUUAAUUAUAUCCAUAUUUACAUUGACCCUUAUUAUGCUAGAUUCUUCAAUCUCUUUUGCUGUCCCUGUGCAAUCUUACUCUUCUGGGGCAGGGAUUGAUGUGAAAUAUGUAUAAUUCCUGCAAAACAGUGUAAAUGUGUCAGUGCAAUUUAAAUAAAGUAAAUAAAUAACUGCAGAAUUGAAGAUCUAAAAAUCAGGUCCUUGCCAAUUGAGUCCCAAGUGCACUACAGAUUUGUUUCCUUUUUUUAGAUGUGAACUGACGUGAUUCAUUUUUGGCCAUCAUUUAUGUUACAAGUUUCCUCUUUAUGUUUGUUUCUCUGUGUAAUAAUUGAAUUGUAUUUUCUAUACAUUAUAAAUAAUCAUAUAUUUAAAAAAAUAAAUAGUCAUCAAUAACAUAAAAAUUAUGUGCUGUUGACUUUUUCCCAGUCUCAUGGUUCUUUAGUGUAUUUACACUACUCAGACCUUUCUAAUACAACAUACAUCAACAUAUAGACAAAUAAAAGAGAUCC